GGGGGCACUGAGAAUCUAUCAACCAUCAACUGAAAUGAAAAUACAGUACAAGACAAGAAAUUAUUUCUGCCUUUAAUUUAAUGAACAAUUAGACAUCUGUAAAUGAGGCAGCCAAAAAUAUGUAAUUGACUGGCUUCUAUUGGUGUUUGCAUUUGUGGAGAGAAUUCACAAAAUAGUGUCUCCUGUACAUAAUUUGAGGAUAACUCAGACAUGUUGCCCCGC
rnacentral:lncRNA from 1 species